GGGGAUUUAGCUCAGUGGUAGAGCACUUGCCUAGCAAGCGCAAGGCCCUGGGUUCGGUCCCCAGCUCCCCA
rnacentral:tRNA from 1 species